rnacentral:lncRNA from 1 species
AUUAAGCAGGUUUUUGGUUUGCUGCCUUAAAGGAGGUUAGUAGAACCUCAACUCUACUCUCUUUUUAAAUGGUUUGAGUUUGCAAACAUGAUUCAUUCUUUAUCUCUUACUAAAUGAUAUUGUUGAUGAUGUGCUAAUAGCUGACUGUUUUCAUGUAUUUGUUAAUGGAAUAUGGUUGAUAAAUUGAUUCGUGAAUCAUAAGUUUCUUAAGUUGUCGAUAUUAGAACUAUGUGUUGAUGUUAAUGAACAUCUGAUGAUUUAUAUCUACUGCUUAACUUUGAAAACAACUAAGGAACUUAUAAACAAUCAUGAUAGCUAGUUUGGACUUAUUUGAUGUUUUAUUAGAACUGCCGUGACUGUUAUACAUAUCUGUCUUGGUUUUUAAUUGCAUUUUAUAAUGAUUCACCUAGUAACCUAGACUUAAAUGAAAUGUGAACUUGCUUAGUGAUAAAAAUAAGAGUGCCUAGUUUUGAAAUACCAGUUCAUGACAUUGACCUCAUAUUUUUUGUUUUUUUGCAUGCCUUUGUGAUUCUGCUAAUUUUUAGAAGGUCAUUAAUCAUUUAACUAAACUCAUGAAUUCUUGAACACAUUAUAUAAGCAUACCCUAGGCUAAUUAGAUUCUUGUACCACUCUUGUGUGGAUUUUUAAAGUUACCAUGCACUUAACUAAGCUAUGAGGUUUGGUUAAACGUGUUCAUGUUCUAAUGCUUCAUCUGUUGUGCUAAAGUGUUGUAAUUUGGUCUCACUAUACCAGAAAUCC